AUAUGUUAAAAAACCAACACAUAUCCUCCAACAAAUUGUAAAUAGUGUAAAUCAAGACAGUUUCAUAGUAAAGGAAAAGCCGAAAGGGUUCAAAGUUUUCAAAAGUAAGGGCUUAUGCUUCUUUUUUAAAGACAGUAUAUUUACGUCAAAAAAACCUGACUGCUUCUGUCUCAUAAGACCUUAUAUACCGAUAGAAAUUCAAGGGUUUUCAAGUGACAGAGAGUUAGUAAUAGGGAAAAAGUUUAAAAAUUUGAGAAGUUUUUUUUUUGAUCCAAUUGAUUCCAUGACUAUAGGGAUAUGCUUGGCAGACACCUCACCAAAUGACGUUGAAAUUAUGUAUUCUAUCGAGGAUAUAGAGUGUAAACUGAUAGGUCUUCCAUAUGAGAAUAACAUACUUUUGCUACCAUUGCUACAUUGUUAUUAAUCACUUUCAUAUAACCACUUUAAUAAACGCUUCCAGCUGUAAAAAUACAUAUACCCUAACAAUGCCUAAAGACAUAAAACGCGUACGAUUUGCAAACAUGGAGAACACACCAUCAUGUUCUAAAAAGCCAGAAUGCGAGGAUUGCAAGUCUUUUCAUAAAAAACUGACAACUUUGCAAGAAUCGGUUGAAAGCUUGAAACAUGAACUUAAAUCUUGUAUGACUUCGCAGAACGUUGCUGUAAUGUCGGCGCUGGCGGAGCAAAAAAAGAUUUAACAAAUAUUAACCAUAAAGUCAUACCAGGAACUCGCUCUAUUAUGAUAUCCACAAUCAGAAGUAUGCUUCAGUACUCUAUUAGUAAAAACCUAAAAAACGUUUUUACUAACGAUAUAAUAAUGAAUUAUAACGUUGAUGGAACUCACGGCAAGAAGAGUCUCAAAGAGUUCAAAAAUUUUUAUCAAGUAUUAACAGAAUCAAUAACAAGCUUGAGUAGCCCGGACGACCCGGAAACGCAGCUGAGAAAAGCACUUCAACUAAACAAAAAGCGUUUUUUUUU
rnacentral:misc_RNA from 1 species